UUGCACUACUGUUUCGCUUCCUCCCGUUGAAGAUGAUAAUCGAUCUUGUAAAUCCUUCUUCAUGGUAUCGUGUUUCUUUCAGCUUACAGAGAUGACUGAAAUCUCUUUGAAAUUUUACUCUUUUGUUUCCGAUUCCCUCUAACUAUUGAUACUCUCCUCUUCUUAGCUUCAUUCUUCAAUCUUUGCAAAAAUUGAAUAUUGUUUUGCAUCUAAGAAGACCUGAUCUGCAGAGUAUACCAGCUAAGUAUGUUAUCUUCUUAUUUUGUCCCCUCACCUUUUCUGGAUCUGCUUUGACCGCAUCUUUAUUUGCUUGUACGAUUUGAAGAUCAAUGGAGAAUUGAUGUCGCAUAUAUUCAACUAUCCGACUCCAUCUCAGGUAUUUGCAGCUCUAUCUGGGUCAUCUACACUUUCUUGAUACUGUGCACUAGUUACUGCUCACACUUAGUAAUCUAACCCCUUCUUUUUUUGUUUGUAUUCCAAAACAAAAAACC
rnacentral:lncRNA from 1 species